AUCCUCAGGAAUGUUAAAAGAGGAUCUGUGCUGAGAUGCUGACGGUGGCUGUAAGACAGAAAACAACCUGGAUGGCACAAGCUUGCGUGCAAAAUUAGGCAAAGAAAGAGGGAGGGAAGCUGGAGGUGAUGGACAUCAUCCAUCUUCAAGGUUCCCCAGCUGCUAUGGCCUUUCAAGGUCCUGCUCUCCAACAGGUCCCCAGUACUCCCCUUCAAUUACCUGUGAAACUUGGCCAUUUCUCACAAACUUUCCCUAGGAUGGUAAAGGAAAGGUGCUGUGUGGAAUGAUUAAAUGUGUGAUUUGGAGAAGCAUUAAUGGCAUCGUCUUGCUGAACUAUCCUAUGCAGUACUGGGAGGGAAGACCUUGAACAGGACAUAUUCUCCACUGCAUGGAAGUAACUCAGAAGAGCAAAUACAAGUGGUUCCAAUUCUCACCUGUUUAAGAUCACUUGGUGAAAGUGAGGAGAAAACCAGAGGCUACAUGGUCUGAUGUUCAAACAUGCAUGGCUUGAAGGCAGGCACCAGCCUCCAAAUCCUGUUCACCAUCACAAACAUCCAUAAACUCAUGUUUUUGCAAUGCAUGUA
rnacentral:lncRNA from 1 species